rnacentral:tRNA from 1 species
ACUUAAAUAGCUUAUAAGAGAGCAUAAUAUUGAAGAUAUUAAGGAAAUAAAAAUUAUUUUUAAGUA